rnacentral:tRNA from 1 species
CCGGCCGGGGCCCUGGCGCGUGGGGGCGGCGGCACUGAUGCUGCUGCUGGCGUCGUUCGUGCUGUUCGCCGCGGUCAUCAUCGUGGCGGCGGGC